UACGUAGGGGGCAAGCGUUUGUCCGGAAUUAUUGGGCGUAAAGAGCGUGUAGGCGGUCCGGUAAGUCAGCUGUGAAAGUCAAGGGCUCAACCCUUGAAUGCCGGUUGAUACUGUCGGGCUAGAGUCCGGAAGAGGCGAGUGGAAUUCCCGGUGUAGCGGUGAAAUGCGCAGAUAUCAGGAGGAACACCGGUGGCGAAGGCGGGGUCUCUGGGCCGAUACUGACGCUGAGGAGCGAAAGCGUGGGGAGCGAACAGG
rnacentral:rRNA from 1 species